CAGGAGACGAAGGAAGGAAAUGAGCAAACUCACUACUGUGUUGCUCCUUCUUCAAGUUUUGACUUCCUUCCGCAAAUCCCCUGCUCUUGUUUACUUUUCAGAGUCCUCGGGUAUUUUGUAUUCUGUCCAGAGUCUUUAGCCGUAAUUAAUGGGACGAAUAAGCUAAAGUGGGCUCACUCCAUCUUUGCUGGCAUCUGAAGCUUGGGAUUUGUUUUGAAUCAGCCUUCAACCCAGCCACACUACCCAGUACCUGCUGGUUCCCCGGCUCCUUCCUCUCCUCUUUACCUUCCACUGUGAUGAAGCGGCCCAUUGACUUCUAGGCACUUGACUUAUCUGCUUAGUGUCUUGGCCUUCGCUGGCAUUCUCCCUCCUGUGGGACAGCUCUUCAAACUCCCUCUCCAGGAGAGCCCAUCGUGAGUCAGACUUAGUGGCCAUAAAAGACGAGACAGGACAGGGUGAGGGCUAAGGGAACGAACCCGGACAUCGAGGUGGCUCAAAGUGCACUGGAGAUUUUAACCCUGAAGAUCUCUCCAGACUGUUUAGAAUGAGAGGUGCUGGAGGAUAACCCCCUGCCCAAAAUGGCCUGAACCAUGGCUGUGGAGAAGACAGCGUCCUGUUUCUUGCUGACUGGAGGGUGUCUCUGCAGCAGAACAGAAAGAACGUCAGCGGAACAGAAAGGAGUCCCUGCUUUCAGAGGUGGCACAAAGCUCCAGAAUCACCACGGGCUUUGUGCUGGGUCAGCUGGCACCCACCUGGCAGGUAAUGAGGCAUGGGCACUGACCAGUGAGACUGAUGUUGGUCUUGGGGGCGGGAGCGGGGUCAGGGUCCUGAACAGCCUGAGGGGCCACUCCUUAGCCCAUUAGUUGCAUUGGGGGUAGGUCUAGGUGGGAAUCAAUUGAGAGCCUUGGGACGCCAGCUGUUUACUAACUCAACCUUUUAUAACCUGCACGGCCACACCAGAGGAUAUCAGGCAAACACUGGCCUUGUUGGCAAGCCCCUAACCAGAAUGACUUCCAGGUUUUAGGAAGAACAAGAGCGUUCGUUUGAAUAGAUGGUCUGAGAAGCAAGCUCCUAGAUGGAGCAUCAAGUGGAACGCCCAUCCCACAGGUGGAUUUCUCUCUCUCUCUCUCUCUCUGUUUCUCUCUCUCUUUCCUGAACAUGAAUUCCCCUCUGGUUUCUGCUGCUUCUUUGACUCUUAUCUUGUGUUACAUGUGUUUUUUUCUCUAAGUAUGUGGAUAGCCUUCUCAACUAGGUUGGACCUUUGUGUUAGUUCCGUUGCUGCCAAGCGACUCCAAAAUGUAGCAACUUAAUAAGUAUUUGUUAUCUCGCUUGGUCACUGAGGGUCAGAAAUCUGCGAGCAGCUUAACGCAGGGGUCUGGCCCAGGCCUCUCCCGAGGUCGCAGUCAAGCUGUCAGCCAAGACUGACUGCUGUCAUCUGAAGGCUGGACUGGGGCUGGAGAAUCAGCUUCCAUGCUCACUCCCCUGGCUGCGGCAGGAACCUUUAGUUCCUAAGUUCCUCUCUGUGCCUCACCAUGUGGGACUCUCCACAGGGCAGCAUGGCAGCAGGCUUCCAUGAGUGAGCAAUCCAAGAGACAGCAAGACAGAAGCCAACGUCUUUAAUAACCUAGAUUCUGAGUGGCACACCAUCGCUUUGGUCCUAUACUGUUGGCCACACAGACCGACCCUGAUACAAUGUGGGAGGGAUCCACACAAGGAAGCAGGCACCAGGAAACAGCAUUAUUGAGAGCCAUCUCAAAGGCUGCCUGGCUACCAUGAGCCUCCUCUGAGAGACGGCUGCUUCGGACACAUCUUUUCACUGCCAAUAUUUGACACAGGUCUGGUCAGGUAGGAGGUGCCCAAUGAGGUUUGUUGAUGAUGAAGAGAUGUUGGGCACUCACCAUAAGCUGGAAUUAAAUGAAAAGUCCUCCUGAGGAUGAGGCAUAAUCAGAAAUAUUUCUUAAUAGACAUAAUUAAUACUGCAGAAUAUUUUUCUGAUUUUCAAUUGUUUUCAUUUAUAUUAAUAAAGUAAGGCUUGGGCCUAAGUAGGAUAAAAUUAAAUGUCCAGGGGAUGGCUUGAAAUGGGCCCUAACUGACUAUUUCCUCCCUAACUAUUAUGGUGGGCACUAAUUCUAUUCAAAACCACAAGAAGGAUAAGGCAUCAUCAGAGAAAGAUAAACCUCACACAAUUGGUUUUUAAAGAAAAUUUUUACAUCCCACAUUAUUCUAAAUGGGUUUAUAGUAAGCCCUUGCCUUUUUUUAUUCUCAGAAACUGAAGUUGGACUCCUUGAGAAGAAUGAUUAAUCUAAACUCACCAGCCAUUAACUAAGGAUUGGUUUAUUAUACAGACUUGAAGGAAGACCUCGUCUCCUCUCCUAACUUCUUUGCUCUCCAUGAGUUCUUAAUCUCCAAGACCAGACAAAAACAAAGGAUUUUUAGAGUAAGGUCGGUAUAAAAACUUCCCCACCAUUUUUUUUUACUGUUUUCCAAUUUACAGAAAAAUAAAGCUGGAGUAGAAAUAAAGACAGCUACCAUUCAUUGUGUGCUUAUAAUAUGUCCUGCCCGUGCUAGGAGGUGCACUCUUCCUUCUUUUUUCUUCUAUAUUUCAUGGUGAAGGGGACCCCACACUCAGGGAGGUCAAGUAAUUUGCCAGAGGCCCUAAAUGUAGCGUGGUCUCAGGUCUCAGGGCUCAUAACUGCCGCCUUAUCCAUCACAGUCUACGAAAAUGUCAAUCUUCCUUCAAGAGCAAAUGGCGCUGAAUUCCAGAGUUUAAUGAAGCUUUACAUGAGAAGUGGCUGGGAGUAGAACUAUAAAACAGAGACAGUACAAUACUAAGAGCCUGCUCUCCUUUCGAUGAGCUUGAUGUUGGGUUGAAAUAGUAUAAUGAAACUAUGAAGCCAAUAAGACCACUUGUCACCAGAAUUUGGCUUACAAGUGAGAUUUGGGGUCAAUUUAGAUGUGUUGAAAGUAAACUUUGUGAAGAAACACGAACAACAAUGAAAAGAUCCACGUCCUCACCGGCCUGUCUAAGCGCAGGCAGGCAGUGGGGCAGCGUCUGACCUCAUCAUUUCCACCACGUUAAAAACGGCCCCUCCUCAACUCUUGACCCAGUGAUUAUUUGUUCUUUCAUUCUUCAAGAAGUAUUUGUUGGCCGUGGUGUACUCAGGUUCCUUUGUCCCCGCAGAGCCUCUCCCCCGGCGCCCACGGCCACGCUCGGCAGACAGUCUGUGUGUGGUGGGGGUCGAGGUCUGGGAAAUGGUGCUCUUGCUGGGAAAUGGCAGAUCUGGCCUCUAAGCUUCAGGAACCAGUGGCCCUAUCUAGAAAAUGCUUCCCUGCACUGCAUUCCUGGUUGACCGGCCUUUCCUUCUGUGGUCUCUCCUGAGGAGUGGACCAAUUCCCCGAGGCUGACGAGAACCCAGAGAAGUCCUUGCUGUCUCCUGGCCAGGCCGGGAUGUGAGAAGCAAGAGGCCAUAGCCGCCAGCGAGGCCUGGCUGCCUCCCGGAGCUCACCUCUGCCGUGGCAGAACAGCUCUUGGAACUGUCUGAAGCCGUUUCCAGGUCAUUCUGAUUCCUGGCGGCUGGCUCCCUGAGGUGAGAAGCCAGAGGUGAGACUCCUCUGGGUAUUACUGCUGCUCGCUCUCUUAUGGCUGUUCUAAGUCCCCUGACACUCUGGACUCAGCAGCAGCUUCCUUGGAGCAAGCACUCACUGUGAAAGGCAGCAGAGCGGCGAGGGAGCCUGUGGCUCAGGCAGCCGCCAACCAGAGCCACCACUUACUUAGUUGUUAUGCCCACUCAUGCUGCUAUGACUCUGUGCCUCAGUUUCUUCAUCUGUAAAGUGGGAAAAAAAGGCGACCUGCCUCAUUAGGUUGUUGCAAGAAUUAAACGAGUUGUUACAUUUAGAAAACUUGGGGCAGUUCCUGGCAAAUAGCAGGUGCCCGAUAAAUGUUAGUGUUCUUUCUCCGCAUGGCAGAGUGCAUUUCACUCAACCCCACCGCCGGGUGUGAGGUGUUGUUAUGAGUCCGUUUUGCAGAUGACAAACUGAACUUGGAAGGAAUUCAGUUACUAGCCAAGGUCACGUGGUGGCAGGUGGACCAGGAGAGAUGUGAAUCUAGGCUGUCUGACUCCAGAGCAAAGUCGGUAAUGGAGGCAACCCCCUGCCCCUGACGCUGCGGGGCGGCAGCAGGCAGAGGUGUGCGAGGACGGACGGAGAGCUUGCCGAUGCACCGACGGGACCUCAUUUGUUCCUUCCCUCCUGUGUUCAUUCGCUCAUUCAUUCCACGCGCAUUAAGCACCUGCUACCUGGUACUGUGCUGGACACUGGGGAGUAAUGACGGGCAAUACAGACACAUUCCUGCCCUCAGGGAGUGCACAGUUGGUCAACAGGGACAGACCGCGAUCACACACAUUUGUAAGCGCAUAGAUCCACUCGCUGAGUGAGGUGGAAGGGCAGGGGGCUCUGCCAGUACGGGAUCUGCCCUAGUCAAGGAGCUUCUUUCUUGAGCAGUGGCUUUU